rnacentral:pre_miRNA from 1 species
UCUAACGUUUGACCAUUUAUCUUAUUUAAAAUUUUUUAUGAUUAAUAUUGUUAUUGUUACUAGAUGAUAAAAUAUGAAUAGUACUUUAUACUUGACUAAUUUUUUAAUUGUAUAAAUUUUUUAAAUAAGAUGAAUGGUCAAACGUUGGGUACGGAAA